ensembl:lncRNA
CAGCACGUCAAGCUGGUGUCCAGGUUCGACUCCGUGUCUUCACGCUCCUGUGCGGCGAGCAACGCGGACAGGAGGACGCAUCAGUUUUAGAAGCACCUUGCUGUCACGGUGUCACGCAUUUGCAUUCAAAUAACUUCCCCCUCCCGCAACAAAGGCGCCCGGGGGAGAUGGAUUAACACUCAUUAACUAGCGCACCCAAAAUGAAUAGAAGAGUGAGGAAGAGGAGAAGGUCGGAGCUGCAGGGAAACGCAGAGCCACAAAGUUGCGCCGCGGCGGAGUUCACCUCUUUAACGGUCAGGAUGCGCUCCGUCACUCCGCCCCCUCCUCAGCGGAUCACUGUCUCCUGACAUCAGCGGCCUCCAACUCUUCAGGCCCCCGCGAACCUGCGAGGGAGGGUGGCGCCCGUCCCUCAUUUAAAGGCACACAUAUGUGAAUGUACAUGAUUUCUAAAUGGAGUCAGCUGAGGAAGUCCGCGGCUCCGUUCGCAGCACUAAUCUGUCUUUUCUUUUCUCUGUUCAGAAAGCUGCUAAUCCUCCUUUAGUGUUGUACCAAAAUUCCAGGAUCUGUCUAAGAGCAGAGGACUCCUCAGGAUCCCAAUCAAGCUCCUUCCUGCAGCCUUUUAUUCCAGGGAAGCAAUUUUCCAGACAGAUCUCGGCUCAGAGAGGAGAGCAGAGAAAAAAAGAGAGCAAACGCGCGGUUGGGUUUCUCUCCAUCUCUCCAUCCUGCAGAAAAAAGAAAGAAAGAAAGAAAGAAAGAAAGAAAGAAAGAAAGAAAGAAAGAAAGAAAGAAAGAAAGAAAGAAAGAAAGAAUUUCCCAUUAAAUUCAUCGGAGGAUGUGCUCAGCGGCCUCACCUCGACAGGGUCAAACAGCAAUAAAUUACUGUUAUCAGGAGCAGGUCGCCGCCAUAUUGGCACUGGAUCAUCUCUCUUGCUCAGGUUUGUAUAUUUUCAGUAGUUCCUUUCAUGUUCUCACACAAGCAGCAGAGAAUUUGCUCCUCUUUCUGCUGCACUUCCUCAGGUUUAGCAUCUGUGUCCAUUGUCACUGCAGCUAGAGAGUGUGACAACAACUGUCUGAGGUUUCCUCCGCUGACAUGUGUGAGGUCACGUGAUAAGCAUGCCGUUCACAUGGAAGCUUAAGAGGCUGCACCUUCAGUUCUUCUGCACCAGCAUCAGUUAGCCUGUCUGCUAUCAGCUAGCAUCAUGGGCGAUAUUGCAAGCUUCCACUCUGCCGCCUGUUUUUUACAUUUCUCAUCCUGGGAAUGCUGACUUCUUCACCCCCCUCUUUUUUGAUGGCAGCAAGAAAGUUUAAGGCUGCAAGCCAAGAUGGAAACCUGGUGUGUCGAGGUGAUGCGGCGUGUGACCGGCACCAAGGUGACUGUUUGAUGGGAUUCCUGCGUGAGUCUUUUUGUCAGCCUGAGUUUUUGUCCUGAGGCUCCUCUGAGUUUUUCCCAGCCUGUCAUGUCUUCACCUGGCCUCCUGAACAUCCCCCACCACCACCACCACCACCACCACCACCACCACUGCCAGCUGUCAUGUGACCCGUCACUCUGCCCUGCCUACGGCUACACGAAUAAACUCUGAGAUGACGUUUGACUGGACAAAAUCUGGUUUAAAUAAAACAUCUGCAGGAAAAAUUGGAGGGUUAUAAUGGGAGAGCAAAAGUGUUUGCCCUCCAACACGCAGCAAUGACAAACUUAAUACAGCCAAUUAGCUUUAAAGAUCAAGCUAAUGUAGCCCUGGGUAAAACCAGGCAUGUUUAAAAAAAAGACAUCACUUAAAAUAAAGAAAGAAAUAAAUAGCAGUUAGGGCUAAAAAGAAACAGUUUAUGAUAAAUAAAUUAGUAAUUAAAAGGCCACUUCAGAUUAAAAGUAUGACGGAGUGAUUUAGUGGUAGGGGGUGAGUUCAGUGUAGUAUAUGUGUUUUCCAAGAUGCAUAUUACAUGUUUGAUGCGUUGUCUGUGAAUGUAUAUGUUAUAAUGUCCCGGGGAAACAGAAGAAAUAGACAAGUGGAACAAAAUGUAUUUUAUUUUGAAAAGCUGAUGUGCAGGUGUGGGGGAGGUGAGCGGAACAGAAAAGAAAGAAAAGAGGGGAGUCAGGAAGGAGGGAGAGAGGAGCGCGAAAAAAUGGAAAAGUUGAUCAAGUGUCAUAGAAGUUCAUCAUUAUAGUCAUUCUAGUGUUCGACCAGAACUCUUUUUGAAGACUGAGUGGUGACUUUCAAGCAAGUGUUGAGUGGAGAACUCAAUACGACAAACAGACGAAGAGGAGAGUGCAUGUAGCUGCUGACUAAGUGGCUGCUAACCCUGAACUUGGCUAACGAGCUAGCGGCUAGCAAUCUGGUGGAGCCGAGCAGAGGUGGAUCGUCGUCCGCGGUGGAGUGACCUGAGGUGGAGCUGAGUCCGGCGUUUCUUACCUUACUUUGGAUCCUCCCUUCCCCUGCUUCAGCAGUUAUUCUUCUCACCUGAGGUAACACCUGAGGCACAGCUACACUUUUGUUUUGGCCUGUAAGGUGAAGCAGCCAGUCGUUUGAGCCUACCACGUACCCGAGCUGCAACCAGGCCUGCUACGGUAACUUAAGUAUUGCCGGCUAUUUUGUUUUAUUGGGGGCCCCACAGUAACGGUUCAUUGUGCAUAUUUUGCAUAUGUGAACGAAGCCUGUUUACAAAUGUUAAUUUUCUUGAAUCUGUUUGUUGAGUAAACCUUUUUUUAUUUUAUUUUCCACUGAAACGGUAUUGGUCUUUGAAUUCCUUGGUUUAAGUUCAUUGCAGAAACCUUAUUUAUUAUUUCAUAUUUUAGAAAGAGCUCAGGUUAGCCACCUCUCAAAUAGUAAAAUACACUAGAGAGGCGCUACACUAACCUGCCAAUGA